rnacentral:rRNA from 1 species
UUUGAUGGGCGUCGACCGGCGCACGGGUGAGUAACGCGUAUCCAACCUGCCCAUCACUUGGGGGAUAACCUUGCGAAAGUAAGACUAAUACCCAAUGACGUCUCUAGAAGACAUCUGAAAGAGAUUAAAGAUUUAUCGGUGAUGGAUGGGGAUGCGUCUGAUUAGCUUGUUGGCGGGGUAACGGCCAACCCAGGCGACGAUCAGUAGGGGUUCUGAGAGGAAGGUCCCCCACAUUGGAACUGAGACACGGUCCAAACUCCUACGGGAGGCAGCAGUGAGGAAUAUUGGUCAAUGGACGAGAGUCUGAACCAGCCAAGUAGCGUGCAGGAUGACGGCCCUAUGGGUUGUAAACUGCUUUUAUAAGGGAAUAAAGUGAGUCUCGUGAGACUUUUUGCAUGUACCUUAUGAAUAAGGACCGGCUAAUUCCGUGCCAGCAGCCGCGGUAAUACGGAAGGUCCGGGCGUUAUCCGGAUUUAUUGGGUUUAAAGGGAGCGUAGGCCGGAGAUUAAGCGUGUUGUGAAAUGUAGACGCUCAACGUCUGCACUGCAGCGCGAACUGGUUUCCUUGAGUACGCACAAAGUGGGCGGAAUUCGUGGUGUAGCGGUGAAAUGCUUAGAUAUCACGAAGAACUCCGAUUGCGAAGGCAGCUCACUGGAGCGCAACUGACGCUGAAGCUCGAAAGUGCGGGUAUCGAACAGGAUUAGAUACCCUGGUAGUCCGCACGGUAAACGAUGGAUGCCCGCUGUUGGUCUGAAUAGGUCAGCGGCCAAGCGAAAGCAUUAAGCAUCCCACCUGGGGAG